CCAACGGUCUUCUUAAAGACCACUAAUCCAAAAAAUCCAAAAACAU
rfam:Caenorhabditis remanei strain PB4641 contig55.19, whole genome shotgun sequence.